rnacentral:rRNA from 1 species
CACUAUGCCUAGCCUUAAACUUAGAUGAAAUUAUUCCUGUUUCAUCCGCCCGGGUACUACGAGCAUUAGCUUAAAACCCAAAGGACUUGGCGGCGCUUCACAUCCACCUAGAGGAGCCUGUUCUAGAACCGAUAACCCCCGUUCAACCUCACCUUCUCUUGCUUUCCCCGCCUAUAUACCGCCGUCGUCAGCCCACCCUGUGAAGGCUCAAUAGUGGGCAGAAUUGGCACAGCCCAAAACGUCAGGCCGAGGUGUAGCGUAUGAGAAGGGAAGAAAUGGGCUACAAUUGCUGUAACAGUUAAAACGAAUUGUACCGCUGAAACCGCACACAUGAAGGAGAAUUUAGAAGUAAGAGAGUAGCAGAGUGUCUCCCUGAAAUGGCCCUGAAGCGUGCACACACCGCCCGUCACUCUCCCCAAGUAAAUUAACAAAAAGUAAUUAACCCCUAUAAACCCACAAAGGGGAGGCAAGUCGUAA